rnacentral:rRNA from 1 species
UGGGGAAUUUUGGACAAUGGGGGCAACCCUGAUCCAGCCAUUCCGCGUGAGUGAAGAAGGCCUUCGGGUUGUAAAGCUCUUUUGUCCGGAACGAAACGGUUACGGUGAACAGCCGUGACUACUGACGGUACCGGAAGAAUAAGCACCGGCUAACUACGUGCCAGCAGCCGCGGUAAUCCGGGGGGGGCAAGCGUUGUUCGGAAUUACUGGGCGUAAAGGGCGCGUAGGCGGUUCGCUAAGUCGGAUGUGAAAACUCUGGGCUCAACCCAGAGCCUGCAUCCGAAACUGGCGGGCUAGAGUUCUGGAGGGGGUAGCGGAAUUCCUGGUGUAGCGGUGAAAUGCGUAGAUAUCAGGAGGAACACCGGUGGCGAAGGCGGCUACCUGGACAGAAACUGACGCUGAGGCGCGAAAGCUAGGGGAGCAAAC